rnacentral:rRNA from 1 species
CCUACGGGAGGCAGCAGUGAGGAAUAUUGGUCAAUGGACGAGAGUCUGAACCAGCCAAGUAGCGUGAAGGAUGACUGCCCUAUGGGUUGUAAACUUCUUUUAUAAAGGAAUAAAACGAGGCACGUGUGCCUUUUUGCAUGUACUUUAUGAAUAAGGAUCGGCUAACUCCGUGCCAGCAGCCGCGGUAAUACGGAGGAUCCGAGCGUUAUCCGGAUUUAUUGGGUUUAAAGGGAGCGUAGAUGGGUUGUUAAGUCAGUUGUGAAAGUGUUCGGCUCAACCGUAACAGUGCAAUUGAUACUGGCAGUCUUGAGUACAGGUGAGGUAGGCGGAAUGCGUGGUGUAGCGGUGAAAUGCUUAGAUAUCACGAAGAACCCCGAUCGCGAAGGCAGUUUACUAAACUGAGACUGACAUUGAGGCUCGAAAGUGCGGGUAUCAAACAGGAUUAGAUACCCUGGUAGUC